rnacentral:rRNA from 1 species
AAUAAAAAGCGGGCGGGCGGCCUACACAUGCAAGUCGAGCGGUAGCACAGGGAGCUUGCUCCUGGGUGACGAGCGGCGGACGGGUGAGUAAUGUCUGGGAAACUGCCUGAUGGAGGGGGAUAACUACUGGAAACGGUAGCUAAUACCGCAUAACGUCUACGGACCAAAGUGGGGGACCUUCGGGCCUCAUGCCAUCAGAUGUGCCCAGAUGGGAUUAGCUAGUAGGUGGGGUAAUGGCUCACCUAGGCGACGAUCCCUAGCUGGUCUGAGAGGAUGACCAGGCGCACUGGAACUGAGACACGGACCCGACUCCUACGGGAGG